rnacentral:rRNA from 1 species
GGAUUUAUACAAUUCGUGGAACAUGUGCUUUAAUUCGUAAAUACACGCAAAACCUUACCCGCCUUUGAAUAAUUUUGUAUUCUAAUAAAGAAAUUUGUUAUGUUAGAAAUUACAGGUGCUGCAUGGUUGUCGUCAGCUCGUGUCUUGAGAUGUUAGGUUAAGUCCAUUAACGAGCGAAACCCUCUCUCUUUGUUGCUAAUAAGCUUUUACUUGGUUAUAUAAAUCAAGUUAGGCUUAUGUACUUAAAGAGUAUUGCCUAUGAUAUAUAGGAUGAAAGAAAGGAUGACGUCAAAUCCUCAUGGCCCUUAUAGGCGGGGCUAGACAUGUGUUACAAUGGUAACAACAAUAAGUUGCAUUAAUGAUAAUUGAAGCAAAUCUAGAAAAGUUACCUCAGUUCGGAUUGUUUUCUGUAACUCGAAAACAUGAAGUUGGAAUGAAUAGUAAUCGUUUAU